rnacentral:misc_RNA from 1 species
UUUCCGUAGGUGAACCUGCGGAAGGAUCAUUCAUAAUAAAGUGUUUUAUGGCACUUUUUAAAAAUCCAUAUCCACCUUGUGUGCAAUGUUAGAUCUCGUCAAUCUUGGCGAGAUUUUUAUACAUCAACUCAUUCUUUAACUAAUUUGUCUGAAAAAUAUUAUGAAUACUUAAUUCAAAAUACAACUUUCAACAACGGAUCUCUUGGCUCUCGCAUCGAUGAAGAACGCAAC